rnacentral:lncRNA from 1 species
GACCGUCAUGGUGACUUGCAAGCAACUCACUACACUUAGGCACUGGACUACCUGAAUUUUUAAUUCAGUGAUGGAAGGCUGCUGGGUGUAGUCAAGUACUUAACUUGUCAGUGCAUGUGUCAAAAUGGGAUUGACCACUCCAGUUUAGGAGCGGUGUACAGUCGUGUUUUAAUUUAGCAAAACCUUGGCCAGGAUAGUCCUUGUGAGGAGUCACAGGACUGUUUGAGUUGAGCACGAUUUGGAUGAUCUGAUCAGGGUUGAUAAUUUAACCCUGAGUUAUCCUAAACACAGGGGUCA